rnacentral:rRNA from 2 species
UCUGGUGGCGAUAGCGAAGAGGUCACACCCGUUCCCAUACCGAACACGGAAGUUAAGCUCUUUAGCGCCGAUGGUAGUUGGGACUUUGUCCCUGUGAGAGUAGGACAUCGCUAGGC